AGAAUGAACGUUGGCGGCGUGGAUUAGGCAUGCAAGUCGUACGGGCCGCAAGGCCAGUGGCGCAAGGGUGAGUAAGGCGACGGUAACCAACCCCAUGACUGGGUAUAGCCGCGGGAAACCGCGGGUAAUCCCCAGCGACGUCCGCGGGAGGCAUCUCUUGUGGACCAAAGCUCCGGCGUCGUGGGACGGGCCGUCGUGGUAUUAGGUGGUUGGCGGGGUAACGGCCCACCAAGCCUAUGAUGCCUACCGGGCGUGCGAGCGUGGCCCGGCACACUGGGACUGAGACACUGCCCAGACUCCUACGGGAGGCUGCAGUCGAGAAUCUUCGGCAAUGGGCGCAAGCCUGACCGAGCGACGCCGCGUGGAGGACGAAGGCCUUCGGGUUGUAAACUCCUGUCGAGGGGGAAGAAGGCCGGGUAACCGGCUUGACUGAUCCCGUGGAGGAAGCGACGGGCUAAGUUCGUGCCAGCAGCCGC
rnacentral:rRNA from 1 species